GUGUACAAAUGAAGCUGCAGAUUCAUUUUAACAGUUAUGAGCCAAUUACAAUUAUGAAAACUGUAGAAAUCUGUAAGAACUCUCACAUAAAAGACCACUUAAGAUUCAAUAAUCAAAAAUAAAUAAAUUCAAUACUUUCUCUACAUCUGAAAAGCACCUUAAUAGACCACAAAUCCAUUAGAAAAUAUGUAUUUUUUUAGAAACAAAAGAUAAUAUUCUUCAUUUUUAUCAGACAAUUUAGAAAAUGAAAAUUCAAAAAAGACAACUAUAUUUACUCCCAACUUUCUCUCCCCACUUUUCCACAAAUGAUAAUCCAUAUAAAAACAAAAUGAAAAAUUUUCAUUCUCCUUUAAGGUGACCCCAGAACAAUCCAGAAUCAGAUAGGAUAAAGACACAAAUCUUGUGUUACAUGUUCACAUUAAUGUAUACAUACUCUUCAGAAUGGUUUUAAAACAUGCCCCAAAAUUCUCUGACCGUCCUAUCAAGAGGUGGGAUCUUUGAUCCUUCACCUUAAAUCUGUUGAUAUACAAAUUAGUAUCAACUUAAGUGACUCAGUGGAAAUAACUGUACAAAGUGUCAAGGCUAUGUCAGAAAGAGCAUGAAGCUUUUGCUUGUUUUUAUUAGAAUGUUCACUGGAAGAAGUCAGCUGCCAUUAAGAGUUUCGACUACCCUGAGACUGCCAUGCAAGAGAGGUGAUCUGAAGGCAUUCCAGUGAGAAACUAAGGAUCCCUGUGGGAAGCCGUUCUCCAAUGUGAUUGGGCACCUCCCUGAUUGGGCGUGAGGCUUCAGGCUGAACUGUGUCAGAACUAAUCCCCACCCUUUCCAGAGCCCAUCCGUGUGGGGGUGUGACUGACCAUUGACCCUGAGACCAAUCACUGACCCUGACCUUGGAAUGCUGUCCCCCUGGACCUUCAUUGGAUGGAAUUUUCCCCUAAAUUUCUUGUUCCCCAAUAAAAGACCACUCUCUGGUGUGCUCUGCCUCUCUCUCUCCUGCUAGUCUGUGUAAACCUCGCUGCCCCACCAGGUGGCUCAAAGAAGGAGCCAGAGGGGAGAACCGUCUCAGACCUGGCCAAAGAAAAAGGAUUGAACCCAAAGCCAUGCACAUGCUACUCUACCAUCAAGCUAUACUGCAGUUCCACAAAGGUGACUUAAUUCACCUCCCACUACUUCUGGUCUCCAGGAUCUUGCCUCACCUCCACU